UCACGGUUGUGUGUGUGGUGGCUAUAUAUCAUUUUCGUCGUCACCAAACUUGGCAUAAUUCCAAACACUGUCUUUUCCUUUUUAUUUGUAUCUUCCUUCCACAGAAUGUUCAUGGACGACACGAGCGAAUCCAAGCCCCUAACCUCACAGCACAGACAAGAUCACCACCAUGACGAAGACGGACACGAAAACGAAGCAGAGGAAGCUCUCUCCUUCUCCGAUCUUCCACUCGACAAACAAAAAUCCGACGGCCACACUCCGGAGAGCUUCCGCAAGAAUCCACGUAGGUCCUCCUCCGAGCCUCUGGAUCUCUUUGAAUUCUUCAGUGCUGGAUUUAUCACCUCUGAGAUUUCUCCGGCCGAGGAUUUGAUCUUCUGCGGCAGGUUGCUUCCUCUCAAUGACCUUUCUCAGCUUACUACUAGUACUAAUCGUACAGCCGACAAGAGUUUCUGGAAGGAUGAGAGUCGAAAACAGACUGUCUUUCGAAAGCGCUCUGAGUCAUUGUCUGGAUUGCAGAGCUCUGUUUCUCGAUCGAACACUGCGAAGAUCAAUCUCAAGCGGAAUAGCCGAUCGCUCGAUUACCGCAAGCUCUAUCGCCAAGCGAAUUCGAUUUUCUCACCGACGGCUGAAAUCGAUCGUAAUUGUUCGAUCAAGGCCGGAUUGAAGCCUGAUCCACUGAACAAAAAGGCUUCGUCAAAGCCGCGGUGGUACUUGCUAAUGUUCGGAAUGGUGAAGUUUCCAGCGGAGAUGGACCUCAGCGACAUUAAGAGCAGACAAGUCCGCCGAAGUUCGUCGGCACUCUUUCCGGCGAGCGAGAGUAAAGGUAAAUAUCACUGCAAUAAUCGAAGCUCCGGCGAAGCGACUUGGAGGAUCCUUAGGGCGCUUAGCUGCAAGAACUACGCUAGUGUAGAUGUAACGGCGUCGUUAACUGCCUAAGGUACGUUUCACGUGGAUAGCACGUGACUAGCGGUUACAUUCCCGUUUCGUACUAUAUUGCCCCCCAUUGAUGCUGUGACAUUCCAGGACCACGAGAAGGUCAGUAUGGGAAAUUGAAAUUAAAAUGAAAAAUAUCAUACGCUUCACGUCCAAGGGAAGGGUAGUGUACAGUGGCGGAGCGUGGGCGAUGAUGUGGCCUCAGGAAACUUGUAUGUUGGGGAAGAUUCAUGAUUAUAUAUGCCAAACAUAUUUCAUCCACGCCGAUGUUGAUGUCAACUAGACAACAUGAUAGGUCCCCUCCAUCCAAGCCUCUUCUUGCGUCCAAUAAUUCCCUAUAUACAUAAUGUCAAUUCUGACAUUAAAAUGUAUUGUAGCGUAGAAAGGAAUUUUAGGGUCCUCACUCUUGAGCAAAUCAUUUCUUUCAUAUUAUGAUGCCAAUACAAUUAUGGCUUCGGAGUCUCAUGGAAAGGAGAAUCUUUUCCAACACAUAA